rnacentral:rRNA from 1 species
AACGCGAAGAACCUUACCUACCCUUGACAUGUCAAGAAGCCUGGUUAAGCGCUGGGUGUGCCGAAAGGAACUUGAACACAGGUGCUGCAUGGCUGUCGUCAGCUCGUGUCGUGAGAUGUUGGGUUAAGUCCCGUAACGAGCGCAACCCUUGUCCUUCGUUGCCACCCGAAAGGGGAACUCGAAGGAGACUGCCGGUGAUAAACCGGAGGAAGGUGGGGAUGACGUCAAGUCAUCAUGGCCUUUAUGGGUAGGGCUACACACGUGCUACAAUGGGCGUUACAGAGGGCUGCGAAACUGUGAAGUGGAGCUAAUCCUUGAAAAGCGCUCGUAGUCCGGAUCGGAGUCUGCAACUCGACUCCGUGAAGUCGGAAUCGCUAGUAAUCGCGAAUCAGAAUGUCGCGGUGAAUACGUUCCCGGGCCUUGUACACACCGAUAGC